ensembl:snRNA U2 U2 spliceosomal RNA
AUUGCUUCUGGGCCUUUUGGCUAAGAUCAAGUGUAUUGACAUGGAUGUCUAGCUCAUUAAUCCUCAGGGGUUUUUUUUUUAAUUUCUUUUCUAUCAAUGUACAGAAAUCAGUUGCAUUCUUAUACACUAAUAAUGAAGCAACAGAAAGACA